rnacentral:rRNA from 1 species
CCUACGGGUGGCUGCAGUAGGGAAUAUUGCGCAAUGGGGGAAACCCUGACGCAGCAACGCCGCGUGAGUGAGGAAGGUCUUCGGAUUGUAAAACUCUUUUAUUUGGGAAAAAUGUCCUUGUGGCUAAUAUCCACGAGGAGUGAUGGUACCCAAGGAAUAAGCACCGGCUAACUUCGUGCCAGCAGCCGCGGUAAUACGAAGGGUGCAAGCGUUGUUCGGAAUCAUUGGGCGUAAAGCGUGCGUAGGCGGAGAAAUCUCGAGGCUCAACCUCGAAACUGCGUCUGAAACUACAAGUCUAGAAUGUCGGAGGGGGCAGGGGAAUUUCACGUGUAGGGGUCAAAUCCGUAGAGAUGUGAAGGAACACCGGAGGCGAAGGCGCCUGCCUGGACGACUAUUGACGCUGAGGCGCGAAAGCGUGGGGAGCAAACAGGAUUAGAUACCCCGGUAGUC